UGCACUUCCUCACACCCCCUGUGGCCCUUCCGCUUCCUUGGGUCCUCCGUCCCCACAUGGCCACAUCCAUUCCCAUUUCUUCCCUUUGGGUGUACUAGUGUGAGCAAGAGAGAUGGAGGAGGAGCCAGCGCUGCGCAGCUUGUGCCGCAACGACGCAGGGCCUUCAAGGGGCAGCGAGAUCCCAACACACAGUCGCAGGUGUCGGCAGUGUUUCUCUGCAGCGAACUGAAGUUGAGUGACUUCCAUUUCUUUCCCUGUUUCCCCCAUGUUCUGGAUCUUCUCCUCUCUUUUUCUUGUUAAUUAGUGUUUCUUUAAUUUCUUAAUCAAUUGGAAAUUAAGCCCGCAACUGAUCCUUAUCAUUUCAUUGGUGAUUUAAGUAUUUAUGGGGAUGCAUAAAUUGUUAGUGCACCUGGAAUGGGAAUAUAUGAAUGUUAUUUUGAUAUCCUCGACGAGAAUUUAAACUAACAGUCAUCACCUAAAAUGUUUACAUUUAUUUCAUAUAAAAUCUAUUUUUUCUAACAUGCUUUUUCUACCAUCGGUGCCAUUUAACAAGGUAUACUCUCUAUAUUUGGUCCUAGAAUUGCUUUUGUCAAAGUUGUAUUAAUUUAAUACAGUGUUGUGUUAUUCUUUUGGUUAAUUUUUUCUAACAAAAAAGUUUUAGACAGAUAUCUAAGUGUAUUUUUUAUGCAAUUAAUAAAUUUUCAACUGCGAUAAUGUUCCUCUGCACAUAUUACAAGUUUGUUUAAAAACAUAAGUUUUACUAUGCAAUGUAUAGGUAUGAGAUGGCAUAUCAUUUUUUAAAGAGUUUUGUAGCUAAGAUAAUUUAUAGUAAUAUAUUAUUGGAGAAAUUCUAUAUGUUUCAAUUACAACACUUCCAUCAUUAUUUACAGUGUAUUUUUUUCACUGUGAUAAUCUAAUCAAGUCGGACAAGUGUUAAGUCAUAUGGUACCAUUGUUUUACAUCCAUCAUAAAAUUUGUAACUUUACUUUUGCUAACAUGCAAUUUUUAAGUUUUAUUCGAUGGGUUAAUGUAAAUUAGAAAAAUGUAUGUGAUUUUGUAUAUAUUGUGAAUUAGUCAUUUAAUUGUGGUAUAGUUGCACUGCAACUUAUAGUGUUGCUGCGGUGUGUCAAAUGGGCUCAUGAACUGAUCAUACUUGAAAUGUGACAUAUGUUGUUGCCCCUUUAAUUAUCUACAUGAUACAAAAUAAUGUAAUAAUGUACUUGAGAUAACCAUGAAAUUAUCUCAUCCUUGUACAGUUCAAUUGUGACAGCUAGCUAAGGAGCCAAUUUGUAGGACCAAUGGGGACAAGAGCGUAGAAGGAUUAUAAUAGCUAAGCCCCUUUCUGUUUUAUCACCUUUUCUGUUUGGUAGCAAUCAGCUAGUUCCUUUUUUGUAUUAUGAAAAACUUAAAUGGUCAUUAUACUAAAUUUACAGCUGGAGAAAAUUGUUAAUUUAAAUAUUGUUCAUAUGUAAAUUUUUAUAUUUACUUUUUACUUAUGUUUAUCUUUUAUAAUAAACAUAAUGCUGUGCAUAGAUUUACAUUUGGUGGAGGUUUUUUAGUCUAUCAAAUUUGAUCUAAUGAGGAAGUGUCUGAACUCAUAACUUAUCCGCUGUAUUGUACAUAUCUCUUGGAUUUUUUAAAACUCAAGUAUCUGCCAGUUUUUAUUAUUGUACAUAUGGCAUUAGUAAUGAUUGAAUCACAAACAACACCUAAUUUCUAACUUGAUGUCUUUGGUGGAUUUGGACUAGCAGGUGUGCAUAUACUUUGGCUGCUAGGUGCUCUGUUCAAAUAUACUGAUAUUCAACUCUUUUUUGUCUUGACCAGAGUUUUUUACUCUAUAAGUUGUUGUAGUUUAUAAAAAUUUCAAGUUACAGUUAGUAUUUUUUUCAGCAAGAAAGAGGUAUGUUCAUUGACUUUUCCAACUUUUCUUCCACUUGUGAUGGUGAUGGCUGUCUGCUUUUGCUUUGGAGUUUGGCCAAUUGGGGUGUUCGAUGUAUGUUUGGUUGGAUACAAUUUGUGAUCUUUUGGAGGUGUAACCUUUUAGCAUUCCAUUUUAUGCUACGAGUAUAUUUUUUCUUGAAAUAAAAUGCUACGAGUAUAUUAUACUUCUAUAUAUAAAAUUUUCAUGUGUUAUAAAUUUUAUGUUUACAAUGGUUGUAUAUGGAAAUGCUCCAAGAAAAAAAAAAUUAGCAGCUACAAACACACAGUUUGUGUGUGUGUUGGGCAUGUUGCUCAGUUUUACAAUUAGGUCCUGUUACCUUCAAUAGAGGUCCUAGUUAUACAGCUAGGAUAAAUUGUAUAUGUAAUUUUAUUAUAGGUCAAAAAAUGCACAUGUAAAAUUUUGAUUUUAUUGUUUUUGUUGUGAUUUUUGUUUCUAUUCUAGCUGUCCAAAAGAAAAGAAUAGGCCCUGGACCGGUAACAGCAGCAGCAGCACUCUUUAACAGGCCUCCAAAGCAGACAAAAUAGGCCUAGAAUGCUAACGGGUCUGCAAACCAAAGGCGCACCCGAUAUGGAUGUGCCUAUAUGUUUAAUGGGUGCGCUAUUAUGAACUGCGGGCCCAGUAAUAGUAGCUGAGCCCUUUUUUUUGAGCAAACAUACCUGUAUUUCUAGUUAAGGAUACCGUACAUGGACACGUACAAAUACAGAUACGUCAACACAGGAUACAGAGGACAGCUGUACUGACCUAAUAGCACGAAGGCCCCUAGAAAACAAAGAAAAUGCAAGCAAGCCCUUGGACCAACUGCAGGCCGAAUCCUCCAGAAGCCAUCGCCACCGGCCAUCGCCGGAAGACGAUCUCCACCCACCACAGGUCGCCAGGGCUCCAUCGCCAGCAAGCUUUGAGAAGAGCCGCAGUAGACACCUGCCCCCAUGGGCGAGAUGGAGCAGACGUUGAAGAUCCAUCGGCCGAGGACGCGCCCCAAGCCCCGGUGACCCUGGAUGCCGGCUCGCCGACGCCGACUGACGCCGCCGCGGCACAACCGAACCAGCAUCUCCACUUCCCUGCCAAUCCCACAACCCAAAGCUGCCUCUCCACCAACAAAAGCCGAACGAGCUCACCUCGCGACGAACCGUCGGCACAAGACUCCUGUACAGGGGUUCACCGAUGGAAACCCCACCUCCACUGGCUCGCCGUCGGCGUCGGAGCAUAACACCAACGGGGCGAGGACGAAUCGGAGAGGACCUUAUUCCACUAUGGCGUCGCCGCCGCCGCCUCGACCACGCCGCCGGGAAACAAACCCUAGAUCUACUAGUACUCCCUCCGACCGGCGGGAGAGCAGCGGUCUCCACCGCCUCGCGAAGCCCCAAGGGACAUCGGAGGCGAGGAAGACCGCCGGCUCCGCCGGCCUAUGUUGCCCGGAUACGCGAAUACGGAUACCGGUAUACGAUACGGGGAUACUCCGAUACGCCAUUUUUCCAAAAACAAGGAUACGGGGAUACGCCAAUAUAUAUAAAAAUAAAAAUAAAUAAAAGUUUUAGGAUCUAGAAUGUGAGAAAAUAGAAGUUCCAGGGACUAUAAUGCGUCAUAAACUCAUAUAUUCAUAUGUUCUAUAAUUAUUAGAAAAGGGAAGGGGCAAAGGAAAAAAGAACCAACCUUAUCUUACCUGUUCGUCUGUUCCACGAAUGGAUGUCGAUCGUCUUCUUCCCCAACCUCCGGCACUCUCUCUCUCUCUUUCUCUGUGUAGCGGCCAGUUCCAGCGGCCGCGGCUCCUCCUCUCCCUCUCCGGAGGCCGCGGCUCAUCCUCUCCCUCUCUAGCGGCCAUGCGGGCUGCGCGAGCCGUGCGAGGCUACUGCGGGCCUGCGGCUGCGCGAAUGGGGAUGAGAGGGUAGCACAGCUGAACAGAGGACCUUUAUAGGAAGCGAUUGAGUGGUGUUGUUAGGGUUUGAAGGUAUCGGACAGGUAUCCACCGGUAUCCCACGAGUAUCCGAUUUAUUUUUAUUAUUUGAAAAUACCUAAAUAGUCCGAUACUUACAGGAUACGUAUCCGGGAGUAUCCGUGGAGUACAGGUAUCCGAUACCGGUACGUGAGUUUUGCGAAGUAUCUGCGUAUCAUAGCCGCCGCGCGGAGACCGAAUCGCCCUGAUUCGCCUCUCUCAACUGUAGCUGAGCGAGAGAGUUCGAGAGAGGAGAAGAGGCGUGCGACUCGAAUGAGUUAGCAGCUGAGCCCUUGGGUGAAUGGAUGAUGGACGAACUAUUGAUAUCAUCGAUUGACAAAUAUCAAAAUAUCAGUCAAUUGACAUGGAGACACCAAAAAAAAGGUCCUCUAUUUCUCCCAUUCUCAUCGCCCGUGCCCGUCUCCCUCCCCAAUGCCUUCUUCCUCCCUCGCCUCUAAUCCGCUCCUCCCUCACGCCUGCUGCUGCCGCCGGCUCCUCAUCCGCCUCCGCCGGAGCCGCGAUGUCUGCGAUGAAGUUCGGUUAUGGGGUUGGGCCCGGACCGGCGGGGGCGACAACUUCGGCUUCCGGUCUGCUCUGCAACCGCUCCGUCCUUAUGUGAAAUGCUGCUGUUGUCUCACAGGAAUCCCAAGAAAUGCUCUGCGGCCGUCAAUUCUAGUGACCAACAGAUUGUCUCCAAGCUCUUCUGAUUGCCCAUGCCAAAGUCGGCCGCAGAGAAGAUGCCGUCGGUCUAUCUUUACAUCCCUAACAUCAUUGGUAAGUCUCUGGAUGGUUUUCCGUUUACUUAUUUGCUUUAUUAUUUCAAGCUAACCGGAUAAUCUUGUAUGUGUUUUCACAAGAGUAGCCAGUCCCGUCGUUAUGGUUCCAGUAUUUGUGUUACACGUUUUAUCUGUAUUGUUGAUUCAAACAGGACCCUCUUUGCUAUCCUGUACUUCUUUAGGUGUGUCGUAAACUUCUGCAGACUACUUUGGUUCGUUAUAGUAUGCAGACCGUUUAUGUAGGUUCAUGUAUAUGGUUCUAACAUCCUUGCAAAAAUAUCAGCUUUGUCCUCGAUGGCGUUGAUGGUUGGUUUGCACGGAAGUUCAAUCAAGCAUCGACAUUUGGAGCUGUGUUGGACAUGGUUACAGAUAGGGUUAGCACUGCUUGUUUGUUGGCCCUUCUCUCACAGUGCUACAGACCAGGCUUGGUUUUCUUGAUGCUGCUUGGGUUCGACAUUACAAG